GAAGUAGGAACCCGAAAGGGGGACGGAACCAGUAUCCAAUCUGGAGCUAACACAGGUGCUGCAUGGCUGUCGUCAGCUCGUGCCGUGAGGUGUAUGGUUAAGUCCCACAACGAGCGCAACCCUCGUCGCUAGUUAAUUUCCCUAGCGAGACCGCCUCGCAAAACGAGGAGGAAGGCGGGGAUGGCGUCAAGUCAGCAUGGCCUUUAUACCCUGGGCGACACACACGCUACAAUGGGUGGUACAGUAGGUAGCGAAGGAGCGAUCCGGAGCAAAUCCUUAAAACCAUCCUCAGUACGGAUUGCAGGCUGAAACCCGCCUGCAUGAAGCCGGAGUUGCUAGUAACCGCAUAUCAGCAUGGUGCGGUGAAUACGUUCUCGGGCCUU
rnacentral:rRNA from 1 species